AUUAAUAAUCGGGUAAAUUAUAAAUUUUAGUCAGGAGAAAUUAAUAUUAGAAUAGUAUUAAUUUUAAUAGUAUGUAAUUAAUUAAGAGGGUUUAGUUUUGUGAUGGUAAUAGUAUUAAUGGAAUUAUAAUAUAUUGAAAAUAGGGUUAAGGUGGAAAAAGGGUAGGAUGGAGAUUUAAAAAGGAAAAAAAAAGGGUUUGGGAAAAAAGGAAAGAAAGAAGGCCGUGCGUGUGAGAGGUAGCAGGAGGAGAAGGAGAGAAAGAGUAGUGUGUGCGUGAAACCUCAGAAAGGGAGGGAGAACGGUUCCGUUUCAAAGAUUUUGAUCAGGGAACUCGGAGCUGCACUCAAUCCAAAGGUAACCAGGAGGAGUAGUCUAUAGCUUUUAGUUCGAGUUGGAGUCCUUGCUCUGAUACGUAGCACUCGGGGGGGAAAUGGACGCUUGUUUUCCUUUCUGUUAUAAUUUGAAUUAAGUUGUUAUUUGAGAAGUUGUUUCUGUUUUAAGUUGUGGGCAAGAUACUAUGUUUUCUUUAAGUUUUAAAGACAUUGGAUUCGCUGCAUAACUAUUUGUCAAAGUGAACUAGUUCAAUGACUAAUUAACUGUCACAAGAGCAUUAAAGUUUAUUUAUGAGUUCAUCUCAAAGUUUAUGUGC